GCACUCUGGAGAAUCUCCUUGUAAGGAGUGCCGAAGGUGCAAAGGGUAAACGCCCCUAAUCUCUCAGGCAAAAGGACAGAGGUG
rnacentral:ncRNA from 1 species